AGAUCUCUACAACCUAGAGGUCUUGCAGAAACAUUGUGUGGUUCACCAUUGUACAUGGCGCCAGAGAUAAUGCAACUUCAGAAAUAUGACGCAAAGGCAGAUCUCUGGAGUGUUUGUGCCAUUAUCUUUCAACUUGUGACUGGAAGAACACCGUUUACAAGAAACAAUCAUAUACAGGUUUUUUUUUUCUUUUUAUUUUUUUUAGCACAUCUGAAAUAAUCAUUUGUAGUGGUUGGGUUUUCAACUUGGUUUAAUUAUUGAUUCUUUUUGUGUUUAAUUUAAGUAGUAAUAAUUCUGUAGCUAUGUUUAAUUUGUCUUUCUUUGUGCCCUUAACUUUUCCUUGAUUAACCUUUUGUCUUGUUUCUUGAGCAGUUGCUCCAAAACAUUGUUAAAUAUAGUGAAUUGCAUUUCCCUCCUGAUAAUAAUGCUUUGAGUGCUAACUGCAAAGAUUUGUGUCAGAAAUUGCUGCGCCGCAAUCCAGUGGAACGACUAACAUUUGAAGAGUUGUUUAACCACCUAUUCCUUUCUCAAAAGCA